rnacentral:rRNA from 1 species
GAUGAACGCUAGCGGCAGGCCUAACACAUGCAAGUCGAGGGGCAGCACAGGUAGCAAUACUGGGUGGCGACCGGCGGAUGGGUGCGUAACGCGUAUGCAACCUACCAUUGAUUGGGGCAUAGCCCGAAGAAAUUCGGAUUAAUACUCCAUAAUAUUCAUCAAAGGCAUCUUUUAUGAAUUAAAGCUUUUGCGAUCAAUGAUGGGCAUGCGUGACAUUAGUUAGUUGGUGAGGUAACGGCUCACCAAAACGAUGAUGUCUAGGGGUUCUGAGAGGAUUAUCCCCCACACUGGUACUGAGACACGGACCAGACUCCUACGGGAGGCAGCAGUGAGGAAUAUUGGUCAAUGGACGCAAGUCUGAACCAGCCAUGCCGCGUGCAGGAUGACGGCCCUAUGGGUUGUAAACUGCUUUUCCACGGAAGAACCCUCGACGUGUCGGAGACUGACGGUACCGUGGGAAUAAGCAUCAGCUAACUCCGUG